rnacentral:misc_RNA from 1 species
AACCUUAUGGACCUGCGGGCGUAUACCUGCGGAAGGAUCAUUACCGAGUUUACAACUCCCAAACCCAAUGUGAACCAUACCAAACUGUUGCCUCGGCGGGGUCACGCCCCGGGUGCGUCGCAGCCCCGGAACCAGGCGCCCGCCGGAGGGACCAACCAAACUCUUUCUGUAGUCCCAUCGCGGACGUUAUUUCUUACAGCUCUGAGCAAAAAUUCAAAAUGAAUCAAAACUUUCAACAAU